UUAUUUGUAUGUCAUAAAAAACGAUUUAAAAGAAGUCUCAUUUAAAUCUAUGUGGAGAUUGCACAUCGACAGGUUGACUUUUUCCUUUUAAAGAGUAGCAUGGAAAGCAGCGUAGUUUAUCGAUGCUUAAACUUAAUGCGUGGAAUUUAAUGAGGUGUAGAGAUGUGGUUCUCAUUGUCUUUUUUUUUUUUUUCCAUUAAUGAUGACUCGGAUAAUUGAAGUAGUUGCUCGGUUUCGCGGACACCAAGAAGAGACACUGAAUGCAAGUCACGUGGUAAACACGUUUAUACAAGACGGUUGGAUACCGUGAAUGAAUUUGCGGAUGCUACCAGAAUGUCUGCACCUUCGAACAUGUUGUGCAACUUAACAGGUUGACUCCAUUCAUUUGAUUGAUCUUUUUCUUUGAAAUAUAUGGAAAAAAAAUAUUGUAAUCGUGCAUAGUCAUUGACAAGCAGUUAAAUGUCGUGAAAAGUGACGGACAUCGUGCACGAGCCGUGCAAUUAUGGAAGCUGUGUAUGGCAGACGAAAGUCUCGACCGCCCAAGCGGGCGUUCCGAUUUAUAUCUCGUGUUUUUGGUCAUUUUUUUUUAGACGAAAUAUGAAAAUACAAAAUUUUCUAAAUUAAAAAAAAAAAAAAUGCAAUCGGAAGAUUUCUGGUUACAAAAAAAUUUUCAGAUAUUUUUCGAGAAAUUAUUAUUCGUCCAAUUCGAGAACGAUAUAUUUUAAUAUAAUAGAAAUGAACAUAUGUCUAUUAUUUACGAUUAAACACCGACGAUUUUCGCUAUCCGUUCGAAUUCAAAGAUCGAUAUCUCGCGUGAAAUCUCGCGGAUCGUUGUUCCUCGUUAUUCUAACUUACUCCGUGACGUGGUAUGCAACGGUCAUGAUAUUAAUCCAAUGGAUAACCGACAGGAUGUGGAUUUAUCGCGCUCGAAAAACCGGCAGCCGAAGGAAACUUGUAGUUCGUUUUCGUGCAUGAAAAUCAUAGAAAGAAGAGAGAGAGAAAGAAAGAGAGAAAGAGCAGUGCAGUAGCGUGAUACAGUGCAACACAGCAGACCGAUAGAACUAGUAUUUUUUAUACUCACAAGGACCAUUGUUACUGUCGGGGGCUGCGAAACAGGGAGAUACAACAACACUUUAAUUUCUAGUUUAAUCAGAUAAGCAUUCGUAGAGAAAUAAAUUAUAAGGGAGAGAUUGGUAAAAAAGAGAGGAGAAUUAAUUGAUUAAAAUAAAUAAAUAAACUACUAUAUAAAUAAAUAAAUAAAUAAAUAAAUAAAUAGUAAAUAGCGGAACGUACGUAAAUUUGAAUUAUCGUCGGGAAUGGUAUUAAAUUGAGAUAUAUAAAUAUAAUUGUUUAUGAUUAAUUCACGUACGAACAAAUUAACCGUAUAAUUGUAACUGCAGCUUGUGUUACGUGCGAUACAUUCCAACAUCCCCCAAUUUGCUACUGUUGUCUCACCACUACACCGUGACUUGAUUAGAAUUUAGUCACCGAAAUACCAUGUAUACAGCGGAGCCAACACGUCAUUCGUUAAAGUAGAAAGCGCGGUUGUUUGUUGCGUACGAGGUUAUCGAGAUAAAUCAUUUAUAUUUAACCCUUUCAUUGCUGUUGCCCGUUUUCACAAAUGGAAAGGAUUUGCUCGAUCAUUAUAUGCGCGUAUAUAAAAUUGAUAAAUCGACAUUGAUAAAACAGAAACGAAAACAAAUUGCCUUACAGCCAUAAACGAUUCAAACGUUAUCAAAAGAUACGUAUCGGGCAAAUUAUUUCCCGCGUGUUGGGUCGAUUAUCGCUGUAAACGUAGAGAGAAACUCAUCAGGUCUCUCAUCGAGUGAAAUUCAUUUUCAGUAAUGAAAAGGUCGAAAGUUAUUAUUAUAUGUGUCCCACAGCCGAGUUGGAAUUGAGAAUCCUCAGGAGACGUUUCAUUCGGGACUGGAUUUAGAGGAUGCAACGUACUCUGAUCGCGCGUUUCGAAUGUAACACACGUUUUUCGCCGCUGUCGUGACGCAAUU